GAUUAAGUUAUUAAGGGCGCACGGUGGAUGCCUUGGCACUAGAAGCCGAUGAAGGACGUUACUAACGACGAUAUGCUUUGGGGAGCUGUAAGUAAGCUUUGAUCCAGAGAUUUCCGAAUGGGGAAACCCAGCAUGAGUUAUGUCAUGUUAUCGAUAUGUGAAUACAUAGCAUAUCAGAAGGCACACCCGGAGAACUGAAACAUCUUAGUACCCGGAGGAAGAGAAAGAAAAUUCGAUUCCCUUAGUAGCGGCGAGCGAAACGGGAAGAGCCCAAACCAACAAGCUUGCUUGUUGGGGUUGUAGGACACUCUAUACGGAGUUACAAAGGACGACAUUAGACGAAUCAUCUGGAAGAUGAAUCAAAGAAGGUAAUAAUCCUGUAGUCGAAAAUGUUGUCUCUCUUGAGUGGAUCCUGAGUACGACGGAGCACGUGAAAUUCCGUCGGAAUCUGGGAGGACCAUCUCCUAAGGCUAAAUACUCUCUAGUGACCGAUAGUGAACCAGUACCGUGAGGGAAAGGUGAAAAGCACCCCGGAAGGGGAGUGAAAUAGAACCUGGAACCGUGUGCUUACAAGUAGUCAGAGCCCGUUAAUGGGUGAUGGCGUGCCUUUGUAGAAUGAACCGGCGAGUUACGAUUUGAUGCAAGGUUAAGCAGUAAAUGUGGAGCCGUAGCGAAAGCGAGUCUGAAUAGGGCGUUUAGUAUUUGGUCGUAGACCCGAAACCAGGUGAUCUACCCUUGGUCAGGUUGAAGUUCAGGUAACACUGAAUGGAGGACCGAACCGACUUACGUUGAAAAGUGAGCGGAUGAACUGAGGGUAGCGGAGAAAUUCCAAUCGAACCUGGAGAUAGCUGGUUCUCUCCGAAAUAGCUUUAGGGCUAGCCUCAAGUGAUGAUUAUUGGAGGUAGAGCACUGUUUGGACGAGGGGCCCCUCUCGGGUUACCGAAUUCAGACAAACUCCGAAUGCCAAUUAAUUUAACUUGGGAGUCAGAACAUGGGUGAUAAGGUCCGUGUUCGAAAGGGAAACAGCCCAGACCACCAGCUAAGGUCCCAAAAUAUAUGUUAAGUGGAAAAGGAUGUGGCGUUGCCCAGACAACUAGGAUGUUGGCUUAGAAGCAGCCAUCAUUUAAAGAGUGCGUAAUAGCUCACUAGUCGAGUGACACUGCGCCGAAAAUGUACCGGGGCUAAACAUAUUACCGAAGCUGUGGAUUGUCCUUUGGACAAUGGUAGGAGAGCGUUCUAAGGGCGUUGAAGCAUGAUCGUAAGGACAUGUGGAGCGCUUAGAAGUGAGAAUGCCGGUGUGAGUAGCGAAAGACGGGUGAGAAUCCCGUCCACCGAUUGACUAAGGUUUCCAGAGGAAGGCUCGUCCGCUCUGGGUUAGUCGGGUCCUAAGCUGAGGCCGACAGGCGUAGGCGAUGGAUAACAGGUUGAUAUUCCUGUACCACCUAUAAUCGUUUUAAUCGAUGGGGGGACGCAGUAGGAUAGGCGAAGCGUGCGAUUGGAUUGCACGUCUAAGCAGUAAGGCUGAGUAUUAGGCAAAUCCGGUACUCGUUAAGGCUGAGCUGUGAUGGGGAGAAGACAUUGUGUCUUCGAGUCGUUGAUUUCACACUGCCGAGAAAAGCCUCUAGAUAGAAAAUAGGUGCCCGUACCGCAAACCGACACAGGUAGUCAAGAUGAGAAUUCUAAGGUGAGCGAGCGAACUCUCGUUAAGGAACUCGGCAAAAUGACCCCGUAACUUCGGGAGAAGGGGUGCUCUUUAGGGUUAACGCCCAGAAGAGCCGCAGUGAAUAGGCCCAAGCGACUGUUUAUCAAAAACACAGGUCUCUGCUAAACCGUAAGGUGAUGUAUAGGGGCUGACGCCUGCCCGGUGCUGGAAGGUUAAGAGGAGUGGUUAGCUUCUGCGAAGCUACGAAUCGAAGCCCCAGUAAACGGCGGCCGUAACUAUAACGGUCCUAAGGUAGCGAAAUUCCUUGUCGGGUAAGUUCCGACCCGCACGAAAGGCGUAACGAUUUGGGCACUGUCUCAACGAGAGACUCGGUGAAAUCAUAGUACCUGUGAAGAUGCAGGUUACCCGCGACAGGACGGAAAGACCCCGUGGAGCUUUACUGUAGCCUGAUAUUGAAAUUCGGCACAGCUUGUACAGGAUAGGUAGGAGCCUUUGAAACGUGAGCGCUAGCUUACGUGGAGGCGCUGGUGGGAUACUACCCUAGCUGUGUUGGCUUUCUAACCCGCACCACUUAUCGUGGUGGGAGACAGUGUCAGGCGGGCAGUUUGACUGGGGCGGUCGCCUCCUAAAAGGUAACGGAGGCGCUCAAAGGUUCCCUCAGAAUGGUUGGAAAUCAUUCAUAGAGUGUAAAGGCAUAAGGGAGCUUGACUGCGAGACCUACAAGUCGAGCAGGGUCGAAAGACGGACUUAGUGAUCCGGUGGUUCCGCAUGGAAGGGCCAUCGCUCAACGGAUAAAAGCUACCCCGGGGAUAACAGGCUUAUCUCCCCCAAGAGUUCACAUCGACGGGGAGGUUUGGCACCUCGAUGUCGGCUCAUCGCAUCCUGGGGCUGUAGUCGGUCCCAAGGGUUGGGCUGUUCGCCCAUUAAAGCGGUACGCGAGCUGGGUUCAGAACGUCGUGAGACAGUUCGGUCCCUAUCCGUCGUGGGCGUAGGAAAUUUGAGAGGAGCUGUCCUUAGUACGAGAGGACCGGGAUGGACAUACCUCUGGUGUACCAGUUGUCGUGCCAACGGCAUAGCUGGGUAGCUAUGUGUGGACGGGAUAAGUGCUGAAAGCAUCUAAGCAUGAAGCCCCCCUCAAGAUGAGAUUUCCCAACUUCGGUUAUAAGAUCCCUCAAAGAUGAUGAGGUUAAUAGGUUCGAGGUGGAAGCAUGGUGACAUGUGGAGCUGACGAAUACUAAUCGAUCGAAGACUUAAUCAA
rnacentral:rRNA from 1 species